rnacentral:rRNA from 1 species
UGUUCUAUUACUAGAAUAGGCGCAUUUCGAACAGGAAUGUAGAAAAGAAGUUUAUUAAGAAAAAGAACAAAUUUACAAUUGUAGAAAUGAAAUACAUUUUGACAAGGAAUCAAUGAAAAUAUCUGAUCUAUCAACUAGUUGGUAGUAUAGAGGACUACCAAGGUUAUAACGGAUAACGAGAAAUUAGGGUUUGACAUCGGAGAAGGAGCUUUCAAAAUGGCUACUACUUCUAAGGAAGGCAGCAGGCGCGUAAAUUACCCACUUUUAACAGAAAGAGGUAGUGACGACAAAUAACUCUAUUCUUUAAGAAAAAGAAUUGAAGGAAUGAACGAA